rnacentral:rRNA from 1 species
GGGUUGUGAGGUUAAGCGACUAAGCGUACACGGUGGAUGCCCUGGCAGUCAGAGGCGAUGAAGGACGUGCUAAUCUGCGAUAAGCGUCGGUAAGGUGAUAUGAACCGUUAUAACCGGCGAUUUCCGAAUGGGGAAACCCAGUGUGAUUCGUCACACUAUCAUUAACUGAAUCCAUAGGUUAAUGAGGCGAACCGGGGGAACUGAAACAUCUAAGUACCCCGAGGAAAAGAAAUCAACCGAGAUUCCCCCAGUAGCGGCGAGCGAACGGGGAGCAGCCCAGAGCCUGAAUCAGUGUGUGUGUUAGUGGAAGCGUCUGGAAAGGCGCGCGAUACAGGGUGACAGCCCCGUACACAAAAAUGCACAUGCUGUGAGCUCGAUGAGUAGGGCGGGACACGUGGUAUCCUGUCUGAAUAUGGGGGGACCAUCCUCCAAGGCUAAAUACUCCUGACUGACCGAUAGUGAACCAGUACCGUGAGGGAAAGGCGAAAAGAACCCCGGCGAGGGGAGUGAAAAAGAACCUGAAACCGUGUACGUACAAGCAGUGGGAGCACAGAGCAAUCUGUGUGACUGCGUACCUUUUGUAUAAUGGGUCAGCGACUUAUAUUCUGUAGCAAGGUUAACCGAAUAGGGGAGCCGAAGGGAAACCGAGUCUUAACUGGGCGUUAAGUUGCAGGGUAUAGACCCGAAACCCGGUGAUCUAGCCAUGGGCAGGUUGAAGGUUGGGUAACACUAACUGGAGGACCGAACCGACUAAUGUUGAAAAAUUAGCGGAUGACUUGUGGCUGGGGGUGAAAGGCCAAUCAAACCGGGAGAUAGCUGGUUCUCCCCGAAAGCUAUUUAGGUAGCGCCUCGUGAAUUCAUCUCCGGGGGUAGAGCACUGUUUCGGCAAGGGGGUCAUCCCGACUUACCAACCCGAUGCAAACUGCGAAUACCGGAGAAUGUUAUCACGGGAGACACACGGCGGGUGCUAACGUCCGUCGUGAAGAGGGAAACAACCCAGACCGCCAGCUAAGGUCCCAAAGUCAUGGUUAAGUGGGAAACGAUGUGGGAAGGCCCAGACAGCCAGGAUGUUGGCUUAGAAGCAGCCAUCAUUUAAAGAAAGCGUAAUAGCUCACUGGUCGAGUCGGCCUGCGCGGAAGAUGUAACGGGGCUAAACCAUGCACCGAAGCUGCGGCAGCGACACUAUGUGUUGUUGGGUAGGGGAGCGUUCUGUAAGCCUGUGAAGGUGUGCUGUGAGGCAUGCUGGAGGUAUCAGAAGUGCGAAUGCUGACAUAAGUAACGAUAAAGCGGGUGAAAAGCCCGCUCGCCGGAAGACCAAGGGUUCCUGUCCAACGUUAAUCGGGGCAGGGUGAGUCGACCCCUAAGGCGAGGCCGAAAGGCGUAGUCGAUGGGAAACAGGUUAAUAUUCCUGUACUUGGUGUUACUGCGAAGGGGGGACGGAGAAGGCUAUGUUGGCCGGGCGACGGUUGUCCCGGUUUAAGCGUGUAGGCUGGUUUUCCAGGCAAAUCCGGAAAAUCAAGGCUGAGGCGUGAUGACGAGGCACUACGGUGCUGAAGCAACAAAUGCCCUGCUUCCAGGAAAAGCCUCUAAGCAUCAGGUAACAUCAAAUCGUACCCCAAACCGACACAGGUGGUCAGGUAGAGAAUACCAAGGCGCUUGAGAGAACUCGGGUGAAGGAACUAGGCAAAAUGGUGCCGUAACUUCGGGAGAAGGCACGCUGAUAUGUAGGUGAAGCGACUUGCUCGUGGAGCUGAAAUCAGUCGAAGAUACCAGCUGGCUGCAACUGUUUAUUAAAAACACAGCACUGUGCAAACACGAAAGUGGACGUAUACGGUGUGACGCCUGCCCGGUGCCGGAAGGUUAAUUGAUGGGGUUAGCGCAAGCGAAGCUCUUGAUCGAAGCCCCGGUAAACGGCGGCCGUAACUAUAACGGUCCUAAGGUAGCGAAAUUCCUUGUCGGGUAAGUUCCGACCUGCACGAAUGGCGUAAUGAUGGCCAGGCUGUCUCCACCCGAGACUCAGUGAAAUUGAACUCGCUGUGAAGAUGCAGUGUACCCGCGGCAAGACGGAAAGACCCCGUGAACCUUUACUAUAGCUUGACACUGAACAUUGAGCCUUGAUGUGUAGGAUAGGUGGGAGGCUUUGAAGUGUGGACGCCAGUCUGCAUGGAGCCGACCUUGAAAUACCACCCUUUAAUGUUUGAUGUUCUAACGUGGACCCGUAAUCCGGGUUGCGGACAGUGUCUGGUGGGUAGUUUGACUGGGGCGGUCUCCUCCUAAAGAGUAACGGAGGAGCACGAAGGUUGGCUAAUCCUGGUCGGACAUCAGGAGGUUAGUGCAAUGGCAUAAGCCAGCUUGACUGCGAGCGUGACGGCGCGAGCAGGUGCGAAAGCAGGUCAUAGUGAUCCGGUGGUUCUGAAUGGAAGGGCCAUCGCUCAACGGAUAAAAGGUACUCCGGGGAUAACAGGCUGAUACCGCCCAAGAGUUCAUAUCGACGGCGGUGUUUGGCACCUCGAUGUCGGCUCAUCACAUCCUGGGGCUGAAGUAGGUCCCAAGGGUAUGGCUGUUCGCCAUUUAAAGUGGUACGCGAGCUGGGUUUAGAACGUCGUGAGACAGUUCGGUCCCUAUCUGCCGUGGGCGCUGGAGAACUGAGGGGGGCUGCUCCUAGUACGAGAGGACCGGAGUGGACGCAUCACUGGUGUUCGGGUUGUCAUGCCAAUGGCACUGCCCGGUAGCUAAAUGCGGAAGAGAUAAGUGCUGAAAGCAUCUAAGCACGAAACUUGCCCCGAGAUGAGUUCUCCCUGACUCCUUGAGAGUCCUGAAGGAACGUUGAAGACGACGACGUUGAUAGGCCGGGUGUGUAAGCGCAGCGAUGCGUUGAGCUAACCGGUACUAAUGAACCGUGAGGCUUAACCUUACAACGCCGAAGGUGUUU